AAAAAAAAAUCAAAAAAAAAGAAGAAGAAGAAAAAAUGUUUUUAAUUUUGUUAUAUCUAGAAACCCGAGUAAUUAAGUCCGUAGGGGUGUUUCAACACCUAGUGCCCUAAGGUCAACUGGUCUGGGAGUCACUAGCCUAAAGCUCGCUACAUGGGUAAUAGAUAUAUUGUUUGUUUAUUAGAAACCCGAGUAAUUAAGUCCGUAGGGGUGCUUCAACACCUAGUGCCCUAAGGCCAACUGGUCUGGGAGUCAUUGACCUAAAAAUGUGUGAAUAAUCUAUUGCCUAAAGAUAUAAUUUCUAAUGAAUUUUAGAACGAAAAUGUUGUUUUUCUUUUAAUGAAGCCCCAUAAGUAUUGUGUUAAUUACUUGAGCACAAAAGAAGGUUUGAUGAUAUUCUGGAUAAUGAGUGA
rnacentral:lncRNA from 1 species